GGUCCAUUAAUAUCUCCGUUAAUGUUAGCAGAGAUCCAUAGCGAUGAUUUCCCUUUAAAGGGAGGAGUAUUUAUACAGAAAACAAUAUGUGACAGUGGUAGAGAUAACAUAGUUGUAAUGCUUACCACUUCACAAAAUGUAUCUGAUCUAAGCAAAUAUGAUAUAUCCGGUUAAUGGAUGGGAUGUACUUUGUUAGAGAAUGAACCACAUUCCAACUCCUCUCACCAGAGCGGACCUGCAGCAUGAGGACAGCUAAUGAAGGAUCUUUCGAUACAUGCAUCCACAACAGGGAAUAACCAGAAAAGGCCUUCCACAUUUUAAUUAUUUUUGAAAUGCACUUUGGUCAACUUUUAUUAUUCGCAGAAAAUCUUCUGUUUUGACAGAGCUCCACCCUGUGAUAACUAACCAUUUAUAUGAUUAGAGUGACUGAAGUAGAUCCAUCACACAAUGAUAUGAAAUUACCGUAAUAUAAUUCAAGACCUGGAUAACAAAUCUCAUUUAGUAUAGAUCUAUCAUUACCAUACAGGCAAAUACAACAUGAAAUGACAUCUUUCCCAUACUCUGUCCAUUCCCUGCAGUAACAACUAAGCAGCGAGGAGCAGGACUGCAAUUAUAGAAAACAUGCUGCUGACCUUGUUGGGAUCAUACACUGGACUGCCAUCAAAAGGUGAAAGAGCAAUGCAUUCUGACGGAUAAUGCAUUUAAUGCAAAGUGAUCAAAGUUCAAGAAUGGUAUAGCCUUAAUUAUGUCAAGUGGUCAUAACUGCUGCUAUUUACUGACAGCAACCAACUGUCCAACAUGUGAUGUUAUCUAUAAGCUGCUUCUACAAGAUUUAUCUUCCCACUGAAAUGAUGCGUGUGUGGUUAUCAAGUCUACUUUAUUUAGGAUACAAUGCACCUUUAUUGUAGUAAUUACUUCAGGAAAAUCCAAGGCAAGCUAUUAUAUUUACUGUAUUGUCACUGUCAUUUUACAAAUACAUUAGCUUGGUGUGCUGCAUCUUUCUAGCUAGACCUGAAAUGAACAUAUAGUGUCUCAUUUUAUUUCAUGAACAGGUGCUUUAGUUAAUAUGUAUAUAUUUAUUAUGUAUAAGCUUAUAUAACACAAACAUUUGGCUGUCACAUAUAUGAGAAAGCCGGAUAACAUUCACUGUAUAGAUCACAUUAAAACUGUAUGCUUGA